rnacentral:sRNA from 1 species
GAAACGGCGGCGGCGGCGGCGGCAUCGGCAGCAGUAGCAGAGGCUGUAGCAUCGGACACCCUCCUCUCUCCCGCAAACCGGUUCCUCUUUCCCCUCCUUCUCACUGUUUGUUGUGUGUUUGAUGUGUUAAAGCAGGAGCGAGAACCCGAGCAGCGCCAUGAGCAACACUACCGUCGUCCCCAGCACUGCAGGUCCGGGCCCCAGCGGCGGGCCCGGUGGCGGAGGUGGUGGUGGCGGCGGAGGCGGCGGCACCGAGGUAAUCCAGGUGACUAAUGUCUCCCCGAGCGCUAGCUCUGAGCAGAUGCGGACUCUCUUCGGUUUCCUAGGCAAGAUCGACGAACUGCGCCUCUUCCCGCCGGAUGAUUCGCCUUUGCCAGUCUCAUCUCGUGUCUGCUUUGUUAAGUUCCAUGAUCCAGACUCAGCAGUUGUGGCACAGCAUCUGACAAACACUGUAUUCGUUGACAGAGCUUUGAUAGUCGUACCAUAUGCAGAAGUUCUUUUCCCUGGUUCAGCCUGAACUAUAUACCAGGCCCUGCUGAAAAUACCACCCAACAGUUUUCUUCUGCAGCUUAUCCAGUUUCUCUUAAGUGCCCUGUACAUAUUGUAUGUUUUAUGAUGAGAUGCAGUUUCUUAAUAUGUAUUACAGAAAUACUACUGGUAUUUGCAAA